rnacentral:rRNA from 1 species
UACGAAGGGUGCAAGCGUUACUCGGAAUUACCGGGCGUAAAGGGCGCGUAGGCGGAUAUUUAAGUUGGGGGUGAAAUCCCGGGGCUCAACCUCGGAAUUGCCUUCAAAACUGGAUAUCUUGAGUUCGGGAGAGGUGAGUGGAACUCCGAGUGUAGAGGUGAAAUGCGCAGAUAUCGGGAGGAACACCGGUGGCGAAGGCGGUUCUCUGGACAGUUCCUGACGCUGAGGCACGAAGGUCAGGGGAGCAAACGGG